AAUAUGACAGUGGCUUGACACCCAGUCUGUGAUAUUGCUCCUAGUUUCCGGUCUAAUUGCUGCCUGACAUUCUGUAUUAGCAUUUUCAUGAGCAAGCAGCUGAACGAUCACUUUCUUGGCAUGAAAAUUGGAAAUAGCCUUUUGAGCUGCAUCCUGCAAACGGGCGAUAGAAUCUGGAAAAGGCUCCCUUGGACCUUGUUGAACUGUGUGAAAAGGAUAAGCAGUAGCAGGGUCGUGAAUUUUUUCCCAGGCUCUUAGGCAUGUAGUUCUGAGCUGAUCAACAGCCUUAUCACCCAUUACCAUCUCUUGAUUUAGAGUACCCCAUGCCUGUCCGAUUCCAAGCAAUUGAUCAGAUGUGAUAUUAAUGGGACAUUGGACUUGAGCAUUUCUGCGUGCCUGAUUUGUUGCUUCAUCCGUCCACCAGGUUUUAAAUUGGAGAAAUUCAGAGAGGUCUGGGUGGAUCAGGCUAAUGCCUCCCAAUCCAUAGGUAUUCAACGUCUGUUAUAAGUCAUAUAUUGUAACAAGGAAUGAACAUAAGGAGAAUUUGGCCCAUCUUGUCCAAUUGCUUGCUUUAAGUCUUUUAAUAUUUUAAAAGGAAAUGGGUCCCAGCAUGCUUGAGCAAGUUCUCUGGGCUCCUCAGCUGGCGAAAUAAUUACCAGAAACUGCCAAGCAUUCAAAUCCCCUAUUUCUUGUACCUGGCGAAUGGAUGCCUGGAUUGUCCCUGUGCCAUAAUUUGUAUUUGGACAGGCUCGCAGCAUUCCUUUACCAUAAUUAACAGGUGGGCAGGCCUGGAUCAUUCCCUCAUGGUAAUUGGCUUUUGGACAAGCCUGAAGCUUCCCUUCACCAUAGUUACUGGAGGGGCCUGCAACAAAGGGAGCCACAAGGCGAGUCUCAGGCUCCCAUUCCAAAAAUUCCUAAGGCUGGCCUGGGGGUGGCCAUUCCAGACCUUCCCCUAAAGGCGCAGUAGGUGGCACUGUUCCUUUUAUAACUUUUUGGAGAUAGCGUACAUACCUUCCCGUUUCUCGCCCUUUUUAAAACUAAACUGUCAUAGUUCACUUUGC